UGGGGAAUAUUGGGCAAUGGGGGAAACCCUGACCCAGCAACGCCGCGUGAAGGAAGAAGGCCUUCGGGUUGUAAACUUCUUUUACCAGGGACGAAGGACGUGACGGUACCUGGAGAAAAAGCCACGGCUAACUACGUGCCAGCAGCCGCGGUAAUACGUAGGUGGCAAGCGUUGUCCGGAAUUACUGGGUGUAAAGGGCGUGUAGGCGGAGCUGCAAGUCAGAUGUGAAAUCUCCGGGCUUAACCCGGAAACUGCAUUUGAAACUGUAGCCCUUGAGUAUCGGAGAGGCAAGCGGAAUUCCUAGUGUAGCGGUGAAAUGCGUAGAUAUUAGGAGGAACACCAGUGGCGAAGGCGGCUUGCUGGACGACAACUGACGCUGAGGCGCGAAAGCGUGGGGAGCAAACA
rnacentral:rRNA from 1 species